rnacentral:lncRNA from 1 species
UACAGCUAGCAAAUCUCAACAUACGCGUCUCAACAUACCCAAAUGUCUCUUCCGCAGGCUCAUCUCCACACAGACGAAUGUAAUGAAUUUGCAAAGACUUAUUUCACUUGUCUCAACGAAAAUGGCUUCAUCAAGUGGCUUGGAUAUUGUGAAGACUCCUACCUUAAGAUGAAGAACUGUUUCAAGAAAGAGCGACUUUUAAAAGCAGAAGCCAACCACAUCAAGGCAAGGAAAAGAAACGAAGAAACAAGACGUCGUAUAUUAGAACAUUACGCCAAAGAAAAGUCCAAAGCAGCU